CAUGUAGGCGGGACAGUAAGUCAGUGGUGCAAUGUAACGGCUCAACCGUUAACCUGCCAUUGAAACUACUGUUCUUGAGUUCAGGAGAGGGAAACGGAAUUCCAGGUGUAGCGGUGGAAUGCAUAGAUAUCUGGAAGAACACCGAAUGCGAAGGCAGUUUCCUGGCCAUGGACUGACGCUGAUGUGCGAAAGCGUGGGUAGCAAACAGGAUUAGAUACCCUGGUAGUCC
rnacentral:rRNA from 1 species